rnacentral:tRNA from 1 species
AAGUUAUUCCCUGGGGGCAGUUUGUCUUGAAAAUAAACUAAAAGUGUUCAAUUCACUUAAUAACUUU